UGGUAAUUUGCCCGAGCCAGUCGUACCCCUGCACAUAUCCACACGAUAUGGGCGCGGGUCAGGGAAUCCGGUGGGAAUCCGGAGCUGACGCGCAGCGGUGAGGGUGACGGGCGGAGCAUCGGCCACUGGGUCCCGAGGGGCCCGGGAAGGCGCUCCGUCCGGAUGACCCCGAGUCCGAAGACCUGCUGGCGGCCCGGGCGGCAC
rnacentral:ncRNA from 2 species